GACGAAGGUGGCAAGCGUUGUUCGGUAUUACUGGGCUUAAAGCGUGUGUAGGCGGAAAAGUAAGCGUCGUGUGAAAGCUCCCGGCUUAACCGGGAAAUUGUUCGACGAACUGCUUUUCUUGAGACAAGCAGGGGUGCAUGGAACUCUUGGUGGAGCGGUGGAAUGCGUAGAUAUCAAGAGGAACGCCAGUGGUGAAAACGGUGCACUGGGCUUGUUCUGACGCUGAGACACGAAAGCGUGGGGAGCGAACGGGAUUAGAUACCCCCCGUA
rnacentral:rRNA from 1 species